AUGAAUGACUCAUAAAUUAUCCAGACCAGGACGUUAAUCACUGAUGAAUUGCUUAACAGAUACAAAUGGUCAUAAGAUGCUCUUCAUCCUAGAACAGAAACAGCACCUAAAACACUAAGAGAAAACCAGCCAAAACUCACAAGACCACACACCAGGUGUCAUCUUGGUCUUCAGAUUCAGAAGUCACUUGGGUGCCUGAGGGCAAGACAACAGGCUUUGCAUGAUUUAUGAUUGCUGAAACCACACCAAGAAAGAGCUAACCACAGAUAUUUAAGACAAGACCUGUAUGAGAAGAAAAGGACCUUAAGAAAAAAAAAAAAGAAAAUGCUGAACAGAAUGCAGUUAUAAUAAAGUCAUGAGGACAACGAAUACCAGGGCUGACAAAUUUAA
rnacentral:lncRNA from 1 species